AGACUGCUUGGUCUUUAGCUGAUGCUUGACUAGAGAACUCCCAAACUGAAAGUUACCUGGUGUGGGGCUCCGCUAGUGGCUGCUGUGUUGUUGCUUGGGACCUCCCUCAACCGAGGAUCAGAGCAGAUUCUGAGCUCUGAGGCCUGGAACCCCAGAUUUCACUUGAACUAUGACAUCAGUCACAGGAAUAACUAUUCUCCUAACUUUUGGUAUUGUCGGUGAUGCCAAGACCAUCCAGCCAAAUGCAAUGGAGAGUACUGAAAAAGAAACUGUGCACCUGCCCUGUAACCAUUCCACAAUCGGUGGAAGUGAGUACAUCUAUUGGUAUCGACAGAUUCCCUACCAGGGUCCAGAGUAUGUGAUUCAUGGUCUAAAAAGCACUGAGACCAAUGGAAUGGCCUCUUUGACCAUCACAACAGACAGGAAGUCCAGUACCUUGAUCCUGCCCCAGGUCACCCUGAGAGACACCGCUGUGUACUACUGCAUGCUGAGAGAGGCACAUUGGGACAGAUGGGGCUGCACCUGUGCAAGAUCUCCCUGGUGGAGGAAGGGAAGCAGCAGCAGCCAUCAAGAGGCCACUGCACUGGAAUGA